rnacentral:rRNA from 1 species
GUGGGGAAUAUUGGACAAUGGGCGCAAGCCUGAUCCAGCCAUGCCGCGUGAGUGAUGAAGGCCCUAGGGUUGUAAAGCUCUUUCACCGAUGAAGAUAAUGACGGUAGUCGGAGAAGAAGCCCCGGCUAACUUCGUGCCAGCAGCCGCGGUAAUACGAAGGGGGCUAGCGUUGUUCGGAAUUACUGGGCGUAAAGCGCACGUAGGCGGAUAUUUAAGUCAGGGGUGAAAUCCCAGAGCUCAACUCUGGAACUGCCUUUGAUACUGGGUAUCUCGAGUAUGGAAGAGGUGAGUGGAAUUCCGAGUGUAGAGGUGAAAUUCGUAGAUAUUCGGAGGAACACCAGUGGCGAAGGCGGCUCACUGGUCCAUUACUGACGCUGAGGUGCGAAAGCGAGGGGAGCAAAAGGGAUUAGAAACCCUGGUAGUCC